rnacentral:hammerhead_ribozyme from 1 species
AUCCAGUUUACGAGUCUCAAAUAGGACGAAAUGCGCGUCCUGGAU